GACAGCUGUGUUAUAUAAAUGCUUAAUAAUGUCAUUCUGUGUUUCAAGAUUUAGAUAUUUAAAAUGGGAAAGGAGAGAAGAACAGCAUGUAGGAAAUGGACCAGGUCUCUGCAAUAUCCUUAUGUUGCGGUUGAAGCGGUACUUCAGCAUCUAGCUAGCUCUACAAAAGAGGAACGAACAUAAAUGUGUUGCUAGCUAAAGGUCUGUACUUUAGCUAGCUGCUGUACUUCACAGAGAGAUAAAAGAAAAAGCGCUAACUUGACUCAGAGAUGGAGGAAGAUAAGAAAGGCAGGACAGGAGAGGAAGAAGAGAGGUCCGAUUUAAAGGUAAGGAUGCUCAGUGGUGUUUGAUAAACUGAAUAUGUAAAACUUACAUCUAAGUCCUUCUGUUUUUAAAUCAGAUAUUGGGUCUGUACAUGUGACA